rnacentral:rRNA from 1 species
UACGUAGGGGGCGAGCGUUGUCCGGAGUUACUGGGCGUAAAGCGCACGUAGGCGGAUUGUUAAGUCGGGGGUGAAAUCCUGGAGCUCAACUCCAGAACUGCCUUCGAUACUGGCGAUCUUGAGUCCGGGAGAGGUGAGUGGAACUCCGAGUGUAGAGGUGAAAUUCGUAGAUAUUCGGAAGAACACCAGUGGCGAAGGCGGCUCACUGGCCCGGUACUGACGCUGAGGUGCGAAAGCGUGGGGAGCAAACAGG